GAGGAGCGCUAAGAAUAUAGGUGAUGGACUAAGGCCAUGACAGCUGAACUGCCCACCAAGAAAGAAGUAGAACUGGAUGAAAGGUCUUACUAAUGAAGGCCUAUUAACUAAGGACAUAUUUCAAUGGCACAGACUUUUCAUAUCAAAAGGAGGUAUAAGAGCCACAGGGAAGCUGAAGGAUAACAAAACCCUGAAAGAACAGGUGACUCCACAGGUGGACUCAAGUCUGGUCCACAUAUCAGGACUGUGCCAGGACAACGGCAACAAAGAACAAUGUUCCACCAUUUAACGUCAACUACUUCAACUUUCAUCAAAAGUCUGACUGAAGUCCAUCAACUACUCCUCCAGAAGAGUAUCAUCUAAAUUUUACAGAUAGGGACACAAGGGGGCUAAAGAGUUUAAAUAAUCUACCACAAAUCACACAGCUGAGCAAACAGCAGUUAUCAGAUAUGAAUUUCGUCAACCUCCUUGCCCCAACCACCAUGCCCAUCCUCUACUACAAACCGGCUCCUACUUGCUUCAGUGUAAAGUCUCAUCUCCUGCACCACUCCCGAU